UACGUAGGGGGCAAGCGUUGUCCGGAAUCAUUGGGCGUAAAGCGCGCGUAGGCGGCCCGGUAAGUCCGUUGUGAAAGUCAAAGGCUCAACCUUUGAACGCCGAUGGAUACUGCCGGGCUAGAGUCCGGAAGAGGCGAGUGGAAUUCCUGGUGUAGCGGUGGAAUGCGCAGAUAUCAGGAGGAACACCCGUGGCGAAGGCGGUUCUCUGGGACGGUACUGACGCUGAGACGCGAAAGCGUGGGGAGCGAACAGG
rnacentral:rRNA from 1 species